CGGCGUCCAUGAAUGCUCGCUCAACGAGGUCGGCAAGUUGCGAAAAAAGCGAGCAGACGGUUACUAUCCGUGGCCUUGAUCAGUCAAAAACUAGCUUUGCAAGCAAUAAGAUAACGCAAAGAGAUGCUUUGGCUCCUCUUGCUUUUUCUGUCCGAGAUUACAUCGAGGAUAAGGAACCAAACAUCGCCGUUCGAAUUUUGGGUAAAGAUUACAUUGCCCUUAUCGACACGGGAGCUACGCUUUCCCUUAUCGGGGAUAGUGUUUACGAGCAUUGCGUAUCACGGCAUGUGGAAUUGCAAUCCACAGAUGUUACUCUUCGUCUUGCUUCCAAUGACGCCGUUCCAGCACAGGCUGCAGUUGUGCUGUGGGUACGUUUUGAUGGGAGACGACGAAAGCAGCGCUUCGUGCACCUUCCUGGCCUGGCAGUUCCUGUUAUUCUGGGCAGAGACUUCAUCAUCCGGCAGAAGUUGGUGCUGGACCUGCCCAAUGGAGGAUACGUGUACCACGGCUCGUCGGGAUUUUUCCGCUUCGCCGCAGCACGGGACCACUGCACAGCACAGCAAGCUGUGGCAGCGUCCGUUGAAACGUCUGGGCUGCCGACUGUCUUGGGGUCAUUCCAUGGUCCCGAGGAGCAACGCCGUGAGCUUGAACAAGUACUGCGGCAGUUUGACGGAAUCUUUACCGAAAAACCGGGUAAGUCGUCUGUGUUACAGCAUAGCAUAGACACCGGUAACGCUAGGCCCUGGCGUUGUAAUCCCAGACCAUUGAGUGUGCUUAAGCGUGCUUUAUUUGACGCUACUCUUGACGAAAUGCUCCAAACCGGUGCAGUUCAAAGGUCUCAGAGCCCUUAGGCAUUUCCUGUUGUUCUGGCUCCGAAACGUGAUGGUACGGCUAGGUUAUGCGUCGACUAUCGUCGACUUAACUCGGUAACUGUAAGGGACUCUUACCCCUUCCCGUCCAUUGAGUCAAUCUUGUAUUCCCUGUGCAAUGCAACUGUGUUUUCAACGCUAGGUUGUAGUAGAGGAUUUUUGCAAAUCCAAGUUGAUCCGGAGGAUGUCCCGAAAACGGCCUUUACAUGUCAUAGAGGUUUGUUUGAAUUUGUACGAAUGCCUUUCGGACUGUGCAAUUCAACUGCCAGUUUCCAGCGGUUGAUGGAUACAGUGUUGGGAGAUGCGAAGUACAAUUUCGCAAUGGCAUACAUGGAUGACGUCGUAGUGUUUUCUAGAAAUUUUCAGGAACACUUGGAACACCUGUCAAUCGUCCUUACAAGGAUGACCGAAGCGGGCAUAACGAUCAACCCCCGCAAGGUGUAGUGGGCAUCGUCUAGGAUCAGCCUUCUCGGCUUUGUGGUGGACGGAGGUACCAUCCGUCUUAACGACGACAAGCUAAAGGCGAUCACGGACUCUCCGGUUCCCGGUAACGUCAAAGCCUUGCAGCGCUUUCUAGGAGCAUGACGCUACUCUUUGUCCAGUGGCUUUUGCAAGUCGCACGCUGAAUCCGGCAGAACGGAACUACUCCGUGACGGAAAAGGAGUGCUUGGCGAUCAUCUUCGCUUUAAGGAAGUUCGACCUUUACCUGGACGGCAGUACCUUCACUGUCCAGACUGCCCACCAGGAACUUUCUUGGCUGCAGCGGCUCCAUAACCCGUCUGGACGACUUGCCAGGUGGGCCCUGACGCUACAAGGCUACUCUUUCAACGUGGAGUACAGGCGGGGCUCAGCGAACGUGGUAGCAGACGCACUGUCCCGCGCGCCUCUACCGGAGGGGGAAGAGGACGGCACCAAGGCGCCUUCUCAACUUCUGGCAGCAGCACAGGUGGCACGAGACGUAUCUUCGUCUUGGGGCACGGUCGUGAGCAGAGAGCAGCUCCUAGACCCUUAGAGAGCGGACGGCCUUUGUCAGCGGGUGUCGCAGUGGAUAGCUGAGCAAGACUCGGCGGACACCGGAACGACUGACGGACGGCACGACUCCUAUCUUCUGGGCGAGGAUGGCAUCCUAUUCAGAUACAUACCCCAGGCGGAUGAGGACGACGGCUCAUCCCCGUUCAGAGUGAUGGUGCCACGGAAGUUGCGUAAGUCUUUCAUACGUUACUUUCAUGACUCGGCCUUGGCAGGUCACAGCAGCGGCAGGAAAACUUAUGAAAAGUUGUGUCGUGUUGCGACAUGGCCAGGAAUGAGGCAGGAUGUAACAAAGUAUGUUCGUACUUGUCCCGUAUGCCAGAGAGCGAAACCUCGUAGUGGUUUUGCCCCCUGGGCGCUUACAGCCUGUUCAGAGCAAUAGACCCUGGUAGAUAGUUGCUUGUGAUGUGAUGGGACCAUUUCCCCGUAGUCCUAGAGGUAACCAGUAUUUGUUUGUGGUUACUGACCAUUUCACGAAGUGUGUUGAGCUGUUUCCUCUCAGGACACUGACUUCCCAGAGAGUGUGGGAAAAGUUACUCGACACCUUUUGCCGGUUCGGGUUUCCCGCACAACUGAUCACCGACAACGCAACCUACUUUACAACCAGCACCACCGUGAUUGGGAUCUUCGCCUGGCUGAACUGGCGUUUGCUACGCGGACGGCGGUCAAUAGGUCUACAGGAUUCACCCCGGCGUUCCUGAACUUGGGACGAGAGGACCCUUUUCCAGUGGAGAAUGCUCUGGGCCUCCGGGAUGGUGGAGACCAGGCAUCCCCCUCCUCCGCCGCCUGCCCCCUCUUCAGCCAUGGACGACGCCGUACUAGACCUACUGACGACCUCAUGACCCUGUAAGGAAGGGGGGGGGCGAUUAGAAAGCGCCACGUGUCACGGCGACAGAGGGCAGCCGUGCUCCACGGGGGACCCCGGUCACAGGGGAUAAAAGCGGUGAUCCGCUGGAAAAGUGUGUGAUUCGUUGCGCGAUUGAUGGCUGGAGCGUUGGUUUUUCCUUGGCAAUAAACCUGGUA